GAUGAACGCUGGCGGCGUGCCUAAUACAUGCAAGUCGAGCGAACAGACGAUUAUCUUUCUCCUCUGACGUUAUCGGCUGUCGUGUGAUUAACACGUGUAUAACCUACCUUUUAUACUUGUAUAACUUCGUGAAACCGUAUCUACUACCGUAUAAUAUUUUGAACCUCAUGGUUCAUUAGUGAAAGACGUUUUUGCUUUCUCUUUUAGUUUGUUCCGCGCCGCAUUAGCUAGUUGGUAAGGUAACGGCUUACCAAGGCAACGAUUCGUAGCCGACCUGAGAGGGUGAUAGGAAAAACGGGAACGGAGACACGGACAAGACGACGACGGGAGGCAGCAGUAGGGAAUCGUACGAAAUGGGCGAAAGCAUGACGGAGCAAAGGCGAGUGAGUGAUGAAGGUCUACGGAUCGUAAAACUCUGUUAUUAGGGAAGAAAAAAUGUGUAAGUAAAUAUGCACGUAGUGAAGGUAACUAAUCAGAAAGCAACGGCUAACUACGUG
rnacentral:rRNA from 1 species